rnacentral:rRNA from 1 species
CGAACGCUGGCGGCGUGCUUAACACAUGCAAGUCGACCGGAAAGGCCCUGCUUUUGUGGGGUGCUCGAGUGGCGAACGGGUGAGUAACACGUGAGUAACCUGCCCUUGACUUUGGGAUAACUUCAGGAAACUGGGGCUAAUACCGGAUAGGAGCUCCUGCUGCAUGGUGGGGGUUGGAAAGUUUCGGCGGUUGGGGAUGGACUCGCGGCUUAUCAGCUUGUUGGUGGGGUAGUGGCUUACCAAGGCUUUGACGGGUAGCCGGCCUGAGAGGGUGACCGGCCACAUUGGGACUGAAAUACGGCCCAGCCUCCUACGGGAGGCAGCAGUGGGGAAUAUUGCACAAUGGGCGGAAGCCUGAUGCAGCAACGCCGCGUGCGGGAUGACGGCCUUCGGGUUGUAAACCGCUUUCGCCUGUGACGAAGCGUGAGUGACGGUAAUGGGUAAAGAAGCACCGGCUAACUACGUG